CCCAGCUGGUGAGUCACUGGACACUUAUUCAUCACACAGCAGGCAGCGGAAGGUGCCAGAAGGGUGUGCCGGGCAAGGAGCUGGGCCGGUCCUGCAGCCCUGGGUGCUGGUGAGUCACUGCUGCCGGGCGCUGAGCCGGGUGCCGAGGGAGGCAAGGCCCUGGCCAAGAAAGGCCAAGGCUGGCGUCUGUUUCUGCUCCACCCUCGCUGGGGGGGCCGGCAGGCGGGGGAGCAGGACCUCUCCUCUGUGUGCCCUCCAUCCUGCUGCCCCCGCCAGUGCAUACGCAUGCACGUGUGCACAACGUAACAGCACACACAUGCACACACACACAUGCACAUGCACUAGCUAAUUCCAAGCACGUGAUCAGACGCAGAGCGGCUGCAGGUUAGGACACAGGCCUUGGAGGCUCACCUCCCUGCUCCUUCGAGGUGAACGGAGCUGCCAGUCCCCCCGACUGCUUCCGGGGAGACCUCCUCCCACCUGCCCCGGCCCUCCAGGCAGCCCGGCCCGGCCCCAGCCCUGUGCCAGCGCCGGAGGGCGGGGCCCAGUUCAGGCAGGAAGUCAUCAGCCCUGGGCUCCAACCCUGCCUCCACUGCAACACCCGACCCGGGGCCUCAGUUUCCUCUCCUGGCACGGGGCCAUCUGAUGCUGGUAGACGUUCCCCAUUCUCAGGGAGCACUGCCGGGGCUGGUGGGAGCACCAGGCAUCACGCCAGCAAUUUCAGGGGUUCUGGCCCGAAGGACCCUCUGGGCCUCUCAAGACUCCCGAUCCUGCCUGUGGAAACCUGGGUCCCCGCAGAUGGUCCGCAGCCCUCUGCUCCGACUCGAAGGUACCGCCUUAGCAGCUCCUCGCUUCAAGGACAUCAACGGCUCACACAGGCCUCCUGAAAAGCAUGUCCUUUGCCAGCAACCACAGGACAGACCCCUCGGCUGUCCCCAAGGCAACAGACUGCAAAAGGUGCCCACCUGGCCGCCGGCGUCGCGACCCUGGCCUUCCCUCCCGGCUGCUCGCCCCUGCCGCUGCCUCCUCUAA
rnacentral:lncRNA from 1 species